rnacentral:snRNA from 1 species
GUUCUCACUUCAGCAGCACAUAUACUAAAAUUGGAACAAUACAGAGAAGACCUAGCAUGUUCUCUGCGUAAGGAAGACAUGCAGAUUUGUGAAGUGUUCCAUAUUUUU